GUGAAGAACGUAGCGAAAUGCGAUAAGUAGUGUGAAUUGCAGAAUUCAGUGAAUCAUCGAAUCUUUGAACGCACAUUGCGCCCCUCGGUAUUCCGUGGGGCAUGCCUGUUCGAGCGUCAUUUAACCCCUCAAGCCUAGCUUGGUAUUGGGUGCUUGUCCCGCCUCUCGCGCGGCGACUCACCUCAAAGUCAUUGGCAGCCCGCAUCUCGCCGGCCGUGAGCGCAGCACAGACGCGCUCUUGGCAACGACGGAUCGGCUCUCCAAAAGCUUAUUUCAACCACUGACCUCGGAUCAGGUAGGGAUACCCGCUGAACUUAAGCAUAUCAAUAAGCGGAGGA
rnacentral:misc_RNA from 1 species